rnacentral:rRNA from 1 species
AUGGUUGUCGUCAGCUCGUGUCGUGAGAUGUUUGGGUUAAGUCCCGCAACGAGCGCAACCCUCGACCUUUAGUUGCCAGCAUUCAGUUGGGCACUCUAAGGUGACUGCCGGCUAAAAGUCGGAGGAAGUGGGGAUGACGUCAAAUCAUCAUGCCCCUUAUGACCUGGGCUACACACGUGCUACAAUGGGCGGUACAAAGGGUCGCGAACCCGCGAGGGGGAGCCAAUCCCAAAAAGCCGCUCUCAGUUCGGAUUGCAGGCUGCAACUCGCCUGCAUGAAGCCGGAAUCGCUAGUAAUCGCGGAUCAGCAUGCCGCGGUGAAUACGUUCCCGGGCCUU